rnacentral:rRNA from 1 species
GGGUUGUGAGGUUAAGCGACUAAGCGUACACGGUGGAUGCCCUGGCAGUCAGAGGCGAUGAAGGACGUGCUAAUCUGCGAUAAGCGUCGGUAAGGUGAUAUGAACCGUUAUAACCGGCGAUUUCCGAAUGGGGAAACCCAGUGUGAUUCGUCACACUAUCAUUAACUGAAUCCAUAGGUUAAUGAGGCGAACCGGGGGAACUGAAACAUCUAAGUACCCCGAGGAAAAGAAAUCAACCGAGAUUCCCCCAGUAGCGGCGAGCGAACGGGGAGCAGCCCAGAGCCUGAAUCAGUGUGUGUGUUAGUGGAAGCGUCUGGAAAGGCGCGCGAUACAGGGUGACAGCCCCGUACACAAAAAUGCACAUGCUGUGAGCUCGAUGAGUAGGGCGGGACACGUGGUAUCCUGUCUGAAUAUGGGGGGACCAUCCUCCAAGGCUAAAUACUCCUGACUGACCGAUAGUGAACCAGUACCGUGAGGGAAAGGCGAAAAGAACCCCGGCGAGGGGAGUGAAAAAGAACCUGAAACCGUGUACGUACAAGCAGUGGGAGCCUCUUUAUGGGGUGACUGCGUACCUUUUGUAUAAUGGGUCAGCGACUUAUAUUCUGUAGCAAGGUUAACCGAAUAGGGGAGCCGAAGGGAAACCGAGUCUUAACUGGGCGUUAAGUUGCAGGGUAUAGACCCGAAACCCGGUGAUCUAGCCAUGGGCAGGUUGAAGGUUGGGUAACACUAACUGGAGGACCGAACCGACUAAUGUUGAAAAAUUAGCGGAUGACUUGUGGCUGGGGGUGAAAGGCCAAUCAAACCGGGAGAUAGCUGGUUCUCCCCGAAAGCUAUUUAGGUAGCGCCUCGUGAAUUCAUCUCCGGGGGUAGAGCACUGUUUCGGCAAGGGGGUCAUCCCGACUUACCAACCCGAUGCAAACUGCGAAUACCGGAGAAUGUUAUCACGGGAGACACACGGCGGGUGCUAACGUCCGUCGUGAAGAGGGAAACAACCCAGACCGCCAGCUAAGGUCCCAAAGUCAUGGUUAAGUGGGAAACGAUGUGGGAAGGCCCAGACAGCCAGGAUGUUGGCUUAGAAGCAGCCAUCAUUUAAAGAAAGCGUAAUAGCUCACUGGUCGAGUCGGCCUGCGCGGAAGAUGUAACGGGGCUAAACCAUGCACCGAAGCUGCGGCAGCGACGCUUAUGCGUUGUUGGGUAGGGGAGCGUUCUGUAAGCCUGUGAAGGUGUGCUGUGAGGCAUGCUGGAGGUAUCAGAAGUGCGAAUGCUGACAUAAGUAACGAUAAAGCGGGUGAAAAGCCCGCUCGCCGGAAGACCAAGGGUUCCUGUCCAACGUUAAUCGGGGCAGGGUGAGUCGACCCCUAAGGCGAGGCCGAAAGGCGUAGUCGAUGGGAAACAGGUUAAUAUUCCUGUACUUGGUGUUACUGCGAAGGGGGGACGGAGAAGGCUAUGUUGGCCGGGCGACGGUUGUCCCGGUUUAAGCGUGUAGGCUGGUUUUCCAGGCAAAUCCGGAAAAUCAAGGCUGAGGCGUGAUGACGAGGCACUACGGUGCUGAAGCAACAAAUGCCCUGCUUCCAGGAAAAGCCUCUAAGCAUCAGGUAACAUCAAAUCGUACCCCAAACCGACACAGGUGGUCAGGUAGAGAAUACCAAGGCGCUUGAGAGAACUCGGGUGAAGGAACUAGGCAAAAUGGUGCCGUAACUUCGGGAGAAGGCACGCUGAUAUGUAGGUGAGGUCCCUCGCGGAUGGAGCUGAAAUCAGUCGAAGAUACCAGCUGGCUGCAACUGUUUAUUAAAAACACAGCACUGUGCAAACACGAAAGUGGACGUAUACGGUGUGACGCCUGCCCGGUGCCGGAAGGUUAAUUGAUGGGGUUAGCGGUAACGCGAAGCUCUUGAUCGAAGCCCCGGUAAACGGCGGCCGUAACUAUAACGGUCCUAAGGUAGCGAAAUUCCUUGUCGGGUAAGUUCCGACCUGCACGAAUGGCGUAAUGAUGGCCAGGCUGUCUCCACCCGAGACUCAGUGAAAUUGAACUCGCUGUGAAGAUGCAGUGUACCCGCGGCAAGACGGAAAGACCCCGUGAACCUUUACUAUAGCUUGACACUGAACAUUGAGCCUUGAUGUGUAGGAUAGGUGGGAGGCUUUGAAGUGUGGACGCCAGUCUGCAUGGAGCCGACCUUGAAAUACCACCCUUUAAUGUUUGAUGUUCUAACGUUGACCCGUAAUCCGGGUUGCGGACAGUGUCUGGUGGGUAGUUUGACUGGGGCGGUCUCCUCCUAAAGAGUAACGGAGGAGCACGAAGGUUGGCUAAUCCUGGUCGGACAUCAGGAGGUUAGUGCAAUGGCAUAAGCCAGCUUGACUGCGAGCGUGACGGCGCGAGCAGGUGCGAAAGCAGGUCAUAGUGAUCCGGUGGUUCUGAAUGGAAGGGCCAUCGCUCAACGGAUAAAAGGUACUCCGGGGAUAACAGGCUGAUACCGCCCAAGAGUUCAUAUCGACGGCGGUGUUUGGCACCUCGAUGUCGGCUCAUCACAUCCUGGGGCUGAAGUAGGUCCCAAGGGUAUGGCUGUUCGCCAUUUAAAGUGGUACGCGAGCUGGGUUUAGAACGUCGUGAGACAGUUCGGUCCCUAUCUGCCGUGGGCGCUGGAGAACUGAGGGGGGCUGCUCCUAGUACGAGAGGACCGGAGUGGACGCAUCACUGGUGUUCGGGUUGUCAUGCCAAUGGCACUGCCCGGUAGCUAAAUGCGGAAGAGAUAAGUGCUGAAAGCAUCUAAGCACGAAACUUGCCCCGAGAUGAGUUCUCCCUGAC